rnacentral:rRNA from 1 species
CCUACGGGUGGCAGCAGUGGGGAAUAUUGGACAAUGGGCGCAAGCCUGAUCCAGCCAUGCCGCGUGAGUGAUGAAGGCCUUAGGGUUGUAAAGCUCUUUCGCACGCGAAGAUAAUGACGGUAGCGUGAGAAGAAGCCCCGGCUAACUUCGUGCCAGCAGCCGCGGUAAUACGAAGGGGGCUAGCGUUGUUCGGAAUCACUGGGCGUAAAGCGUACGUAGGCGGACCGUUAAGUCGGGGGUGAAAUCCCAGGGCUCAACCCUGGAACUGCCUCCGAUACUGGCGGUCUGGAGUCCGGGAGAGGUGAGUGGAACUCCUAGUGUAGAGGUGAAAUUCGUAGAUAUUAGGAAGAACACCAGUGGCGAAGGCGGCUCACUGGCCCGGUACUGACGCUGAGGUACGAAAGCGUGGGGAGCAAACAGGAUUAGAUACCCCUGUAGUC